rnacentral:rRNA from 1 species
GGGAACUGUGAGACAGGUGCUGCAUGGCUGUCGUCAGCUCGUGUUGUGAAAUGUUGGGUUAAGUCCCGCAACGAGCGCAACCCUUAUCCUUUGUUGCCAGCGGUUAGGCCGGGAACUCAAAGGAGACUGCCAGUGAUAAACUGGAGGAAGGUGGGGAUGACGUCAAGUCAUCAUGGCCCUUACGACCAGGGCUACACACGUGCUACAAUGG